ACCAAGGAGUCUAACAUGUGCGCGAGCCGCGGGGCAGUACGAAACCCGUAAGGCGAAAUGAAGGUGAACGCCGGCGCGGUCCGGCGGAGGUUGGAUCCCGUCCCGUCGGGGCGGGCGCACUACCGGCCGAUCUUCUCCGCCCUGUCGGCGAGGUCGAGCGAGAGCGUGCAAGUCGGGACCCGAAAGAUGGUGAACUAUGCCUGAGGAGGUUGAAGCCAGAGGAAACUCUGGUGGAGGACCGUAGCGAUUCUGACGUGCAAAUCGAUCGUCAAAUUUGGGUAUAGGGGCGAAAGACUAAUCGAACCGUCUAGUAGCUGGUUCCCUUCGAAGUUUCCCUCAGGAUAGCUGGCGCUCUGUCGCAGUUUUAUCUGGUAAAGCGAAUGAUUAGAAAUCUUGGGGGCGAAACGCCCUCAACCUAUUCUCAAACUUUAAAUUGGUAAGAAGCCCGACUCGCUCGUUUGGAGCCGGGCAUGGAAUGCGAGUGCCAAGUGGGCCACUCUUGGUAAGCAGGACUGGCGAUGCGGGAUGAACCGAACGCCGGGUUAAGGCGCCCGACGCGACGCUCAUCAGAGCCCACAAAAGGUGUUGGUUGAUAUAGACAGCAGGACGGUGGCCAUGGAAGUCGGAAACCGCUAAGGAGUGGUAUCAUCUGAACUCCGAAUCAAUCAGCCCUGGGU
rnacentral:ncRNA from 1 species